rnacentral:rRNA from 1 species
CCAGACUCCUACGGGAGGCAGCAGUGGGGAAUAUUGCACAAUGGGCGCAAGCCUGAUGCAGCGACGCCGCGUGGGGGAUGACGGCCUUCGGGUUGUAAACUCCUUUCGCUAGGGACGAAGCGUUUUUGUGACGGUACCUGGAGAAGAAGCACCGGCUAACUACGUGCCAGCAGCCGCGGUAAUACGUAGGGUGCGAGCGUUGUCCGGAAUUACUGGGCGUAAAGAGCUCGUAGGUGGUUUGUCGCGUCGUUUGUGUAAGCCCGCAGCUUAACUGCGGGACUGCAGGCGAUACGGGCAUAACUUGAGUGCUGUAGGGGAGACUGGAAUUCCUGGUGUAGCGGUGGAAUGCGCAGAUAUCAGGAGGAACACCGAUGGCGAAGGCAGGUCUCUGGGCAGUAACUGACGCUGAGGAGCGAAAGCAUGGGUAGCGAACAGGAUUAGAUACCCUGGUAGUCCAUGCCGUAAACGGUGGGCGCUAGGUGUGAGUCCCUUCCACGGGGUUCGUGCCGUAGCUAACGCAUUAAGCGCCCCGCCUGGGGAGUACGGCCGCAAGGCUAAAACUCAAAGGAAUUGACGGGGGCCCCGCACAAG